rnacentral:rRNA from 1 species
GUGCCAGCAGCCGCGGUAAUACAGAGGGGGCCAGCGUUAUUCGGAAUUAUUGGGCGUAAAGGGCGCGUAGGCGGCCAUGCGUGUCUUCCGUGAAAUCCCUCGGCUCAACCGAGGACGUGCGGAAGAAACUGCAAGGCUCGAGUCCAGAAGAGGGGGGCGGAAUUCCCAGUGUAGCGGUGAAAUGCGUAGAUAUUGGGAGGAACACCGGUGGCGAAGGCGGCCCCCUGGGCUGGUACUGACGCUGAUGCGCGAAAGCGUGGGUAGCAAACGGGAUUAGAAACCCCCGUAGUCC